AUUAUCUUAAUGAUCCUCCUAUGAGGAUGAAAUUUUAUAUCAAUUUUUUUUGAAAAAAUCAUCUCUUAUUUGCAAACGAUUUUUUAUUGUCUACAUAAUAUUCCAUAGUGUAGAUGUGCAUCUUGGUACAAUGUGGACAAGAAGUACAGCCCCCCAGGCCUCUGCCUCUCUAUCAGGCAUAAGAUGGGUCCCUGUUCCAGGGGAAGCACCUGGUACUCCAGAAAUUUCUCUCUUGAAGCAGAUGUCAGGCAGACCUGAGACCUGGCCUCUGACAGAAACCUGGGUCUCCUUGAGGACACAGCUCCCUCUGAAGUUCUCUCUUGGGGUGUUUCCUCUGCCAUGGACCUUGUACUCCUGGGCCUGGAGGUGGGUGGUGUCCUUACUCCUCAUUGCUGCUCUCAGAUCUUUGUUCCUCCCUCUUUCCCAAACAUCUUCAGGGGUGAAUCUUCUGUCAUCAGAUUAGAGCCCCUACUCCCCUCACUGUACGUAUUCCCUAUGGACCCCCAGACCAUUCCCCUCAUUCCUCGACUCUUUUAGUUCCUGGCUAAAGAGUCUCUAGCAGUGCUAUCUCCUUGAUCCUUGGUGAUUUCAACAUAAGAUGUGUAGGAUGGAUAAUGGUCCCCAAAGUUUUUCAUGUUCUAAUCCUUGGAACCUGUGAGUUAGAUGCCUUACAUGGUAAAAGGUGCUUUCCUGAUGUAAUUAAGGUUAAAGACCUUAAAAUUUGGAGACUAUCCUGGAUUAUCUGGGUUGGCCCAAUAAAAUCACAUAAGUCCUUAAAAGCAGAGAAUUUUCUCUGGAUGGAGUCAUAGAGAUGCAGCAGAAGAGAAAUCAGAGAAAUUCCAAUGUGGGAAGGAUUGCUGCUGCUGGUUAUGAGAUGUAGAGGGCCACAUGUGAGACCUGAGAGAGGCCUAUAGUUGCUGAAGGUGGUUCCAGCUGAGAGAUGGCAAGGAAAUAGGAACCUCAGUCCUAUAUCUGCAAGGAUCUGAAUUCAGACAACAACCUGAAUGAGCUUGGAAGUAGAUUCUUCCAGAGUUCCCAUUAAGGAACACAGACUUGCCGACACCUUGAUCUUAGCCCAGUGAGAACAUGUCUGACUUGUAACCUACAUAACCAUUUUUAUGGCAGCUAUAGAAACCCAUACAGCAGAGAGGAUGGUCUCACUCCCUGGCCUCUCAGUUCCCUGAACUCCUCUCCUCCAUAACCUUCUACUCUGCUCUCCCUGGGCCCCCACUCCCUUGCAUCCCCUAUGUCUUGUCAUUGCCAAUAACCCAGCCCUUCCAUAGUCUCCAUUUCAUGCUUUUCACUCUCUGACGUCCAUCUCUCCUACUCAUUUCCUUGCAGGGUGGGCUAAGCUCCGGAAACAUUGAUACCAUUAUUUUUUCACAUAUUUAGCAGACAUUGUCCCAGAAAUCACAUUGACACCCACAGCAUCAAUCAUGUCCCCUAUAUAGUGGGAGUCUAUAGAGGCCAGGUAAUAAAUAGAGUCUGGACAAGUCUGGCUCGCAAUAUGAUCAGUGGGUGCAUAGACCCACCCUGUAGUUAUUGCCCCAUUUCCCAAGUACAGAAUUGGCAUCAAUACAUUUGAUAGUUGGAGUAAACUCCACACUGGGUUCCUGGUCUGUGGAGUAAGGGUUCUCUUUGUGCUGAAGGCCAAAGGAAACCUCUGAAACUGGCCCCAUCCUGGCCAAAUCAAAAAUGAUACUGUGUCCCAGGGGCAGGUAUUGUGGAGGUUUUGCAGGUAUUGUAGGGCUUAGCACCACCAUUAGAGACCUGAUGGAUCCAGGGGUCUUGGUGGUAUUACCUCUUAUCUCCUUUUAAUUCAGCAAUCUGUCCCUGCAGAAACCUAAAGAAUGUAUGAGCUACUGUGGUCCUGAUGCAGCUGCUGUGCUGGAUGUGACAUCACUGCUAGAGCAGGUUAGAUUCCUGAUGUUCAGGGUUUUCAAGAUUGUUACCCACUGUAGUUAAUGAACAAAAAGGAACCUCUCGAUGAAAACCUUCUCUACC